rnacentral:sRNA from 1 species
UUCCGAGUGCAUCCUCACGACUAAUGAAAGCGCUAUCGCGCCUUUAAAGUACAGUUCUUGAGAUAAGGUGGAAGAAACUGACUUAAACAACGCUUUCAUUAGCCGCGCAACGCUGCACCGGAAAAACCCAAAAUCGAACUAUUAUGAUACUGCUUAUUACUAUCUAAUCAUAGAAGAAAGGGGCCAAAUCGGCCCCUUUCC